rnacentral:misc_RNA from 1 species
CAACCCUCAAGCCUGGCUUGGUGUUGGGCGUUUUGUCCCGCCAUGUGCGCGGACUCGCCUUAAAAGAAUCGGCGUCUACAUGUGGGCCUGAUGCGUAGUAAAAUUCGCAGACUAGGUUGGCGUGCUGGCGGCCGGAACGCAUAUAUCUUUUU